rnacentral:rRNA from 1 species
AUGCCUCUUGUCUAUGGUAAGACACAGCAUAGUGCAGCAGCGGACAUCCAGAAGGGGCUUGACUUCAUUAGAAAACGUGCUGAAAGCAACAAAGUGGCGGACAUUUUUUUUUUUGCAUUCUGGGACAAGAAAUUCCCAGCCAUUGCUAGGCUGAGCCAUGUUAGCAAAGAAUGGUUUCUCCAACAAUAUGAGGAUAAAUCCCUUACUAAAAUGGUAGUGGUCACAAACCCCUUCCGUGUACAAUUGAAAACAUUAACAAUACGAAAGCAAGAAUCAUCAUUUAUACUGGGAAUGCCUUCCUCUACCAAAAGAGAAAGAGUUGAAGAUAACGAAGGAAAGUGGGUGGAUACAAAACCAGUUCAUAUCACUUGUCUUUCUGGUCUUUCAGAAUCUCAUCGAAUACUAGUAAAUGCUUUCGAAGAGAAAAUAGAAGCACUAGAGAGCUCAAGUUCACUUCAUUCAUCACAAGAUGCAAAUGAGAAUCAAAAUGGAGCUAAUGAGGAAGAAAUCACUUCUACUUAA